rnacentral:rRNA from 1 species
GACGAACGCUGGCGGCGUGCUUAACACGUGCAAGUCGAACGGAAAGGCCCUGCUUUUGUGGGGUGCUCGAGUGGCGAACGGGUGAGUAACACGUGAGUAACCUGCCCUUGACUUUGGGAUAACUUCAGGAAACUGGGGCUAAUACCGGAUAGGAGCUCCUGCUGCAUGGUGGGGGUUGGAAAGUUUCGGCGGUUGGGGAUGGACUCGCGGCUUAUCAGCUUGUUGGUGGGGUAGUGGCUUACCAAGGCUUUGACGGGUAGCCGGCCUGAGAGGGUGACCGGCCACAUUGGGACUGAGAUACGGCCCAGACUCCUACGGGAGGCAGCAGUGGGGAAUAUUGCACAAUGGGCGGAAGCCUGAUGCAGCAACGCCGCGUGCGGGAUGACGGCCUUCGGGUUGUAAACCGCUUACGCCUGUGACGAAGCGUGAGUGACGGUAAUGGGUAAAGAAGCACCGGCUAACUACGUG